GUUUACUGUCGGUCUCUUCCUACUAGAAUGGAAGCUCUCUGAGGAAGCUCCACGGGCUCAAGCUCUUGUUAACUUGGUAACUCCCCAGUGACGGGACACGACGUGGCACGCGCAGACGAUCAACACUACGUGCCAGGCAUUGGUUCAAGCACCUCCCAUACACUGACACAUUCAAUCCUCACUACUAACUUCCUUUUCAAGAUGAGGAAACCGAGAGUAAAACCCAUUUGUUAGAAGAAUUCUCCUGCUCUGGAAUGAAGCCGUCUGGUAGACCUUCCGUGAAACACACACGGCUGAAAUGAUCACGUCUCUUGAAGCUAUUUCAGGAUCUCCCAUCUUUCCACACUGAACCUGAAUUUCUCAGUAAGUCAUAUCGCUCCA